UUAAUUCUUAUCUUAGCUAGCUUGUUAUUGCUUGUUUUCUUAUUCAUUGUUUUGAAUUUUAGGCCCCCCUUAUCUUUUUAUAAUCUUCUCUGGCAUAUGUGUAUAUAUAUGUUAAGAUUAAAUUAUUUAUAUUUUUAUUCAAUAAUUACCUUUUGGGUUUGAUUUUAUUGUAGGGUGAACUAAAUCUGCAGUCUGCACGGGCGGGGGUAUCUGGUUUAUUGAUAAGUCACGAAUGAAGUCUACAAAGAGAAUAAGGCUGCUACUUUUGGCUUAUUGUCCUAAAAAUAUCUUCUAUUACUCUAAAAUAAAGCCUGAGAUAUUUUAUUGGCAUUUUGCAUUUUACAUUAUUAUACAAGUCAUUCUAAUUAUAUGUGUUGCAAUGUAAACAUAUAUGAUAUUUACGUGUGCAAAGUGAAUGUCCUUUCUUUAUUCUUAUGGGUAAAUUAAAAUCUUGAUUGAAUAAUUUGUUUUCUUAAUCUUGAUUUAGGUCAACAUAUAAAAUUAUAAACAUACAAAAUUAUGAGUCAAUUACUUAAUAGUUAACAUUACUUAAUUAAUAAAUUUUUCUUGGUUAUAAUAAUAUUAUUUUAUUAGUGUUCUAUUGUAUUGUGUUCUGUAUAAGAUUAGGAUAGGAUUUGAAUUAAUAACGAAAAAAUGAAUGAAAUAAUCCUAAUUAAUAAUAUCAUGAUUUUUAAAAAGAAUAAUGUCAGGGAUCCCAACAAUUGAGUUGAUAUAUUAUUCAUCUAGUGAAUGGUAGAAUAUUAUUUUAGACUUAAAUAUAAAAAUUUCAAUCAUUAUUGUUUUAACAAUAAUUUCAUAUGUAUAAAUUAUUCAUAUGAAAUUACAUUUAACAAUAUGAAUAGAGUUGUAUAAAUUUAAAUUGAAUAAAAUUAUUAGAGUGAAAAUAAAUGAGUAUAUAUGAUGUGAGAAAUGGGAGAAUGAUAUUAAAUUCACAUUCAUCUUUAUUAAAAUAGAAAAAAAAAAUUGAAGCUGUCUUUAAUUUCUCUCAUCGCUUAAUGAGUAGCUACGAUUGAGUUUUGUAUUUUGAUGUCAAUAAUUAAGUCAGCCAUUUUUCACUAUAUUAUAAUGAUAAUGAGAGGAAAGGAAAGAAAAAAACAAAAAGAGGAUCAUAAUUCUUAAUUAAAACCCGACAAAGAUAAGAGAAAGAUUAUUCUCAUUUAGAGAAAGACAUGUACUAUGGUGAAUGGUCUCCAAAUUAGAGAACCACAAAGGAGAGGUUGUCAGGAUAAGGUUUAUAAAAGGACAAGCUGAAACUGUCGCAAAUGAAAGAGAACAAGGCUGCUGCUUUUGUUUUAGGAUUUUGCUAUGUUACAUUGAAUGUACCAUACACAACUAAUAAGAACCACACAAUUAUGUGGGUCCCACAAUUUAUGUGGUUCUUAUUGGUUGUGUAUGGUACAUUUAAUGUAACAUAGAGGCUCCCUUUGUUUUAUUGUCCUAAAAAUAUCUUCUAUUACUCUAAAAUAAAGCCUGAGAUAUUUUAUUGGCAUUUUGCAUUUUACAUUAUUAUACAAGUCAUUCUAAUAAAAUGAACUUUUGUUAUGUGUUGCAAUGUAAACAUAUAUGAUAUUUACGUGUGCAAAGUGAAUGUCCUUUCUUUAUUCUUUUGUACCUACAAUAUAA
rnacentral:lncRNA from 1 species